rnacentral:rRNA from 1 species
AAAUUGAAGAGUUUGAUCAUGGCUCAGAUUGAACGCUGGCGGCAGGCCUAACACAUGCAAGUCGAACGGUAACAGGAAGCGCUUGCUGCUUCGCUGACGAGUGGCGGACGGGUGAGUAAUGUCUGGGAAACUGCCUGAUGGAGGGGGAUAACUACUGGAAACGGUAGCUAAUACCGCAUAACGUCGCAAGACCAAAGAGGGGGACCUU